rnacentral:rRNA from 1 species
GCGACCACGCGAGUGUGAGCGAAUCUCAAAAAUAACGUCUCAGUUCGGAUUGUAGUCUGCGACUCGACUACAUGAAGCUGGAAUCGCUAGUAAUCGCGGAUCAGCAUGCCGCGGUGAAUACGUUCCCGGGCCUUGUACACACCGCCCGUCACACCAUGAGAGUCGGGAACACCCGAAGUCCGUAGUCUGACCGCAAGGGGGACGCGGCCGAAGGUGGGUUCGAUAAUUGGGGUGAAGUCGUAACAAGGUAAC